GACGUAGGGCGCGAGCGUUGUCCGGAUUUAUUGGGCGUAAAGAGCUCGUAGGCGGCUUGUCGCGUCGUCCGUGAAAACUUGGGGCUCAACCCCAAGCUUGCGGUCGAUACGGGCAGGCUGGAGUUCGGUAGGGGAGACUGGAAUUCCCGGUGUAGCGGUGAAAUGCGUAGAUAUCGUAAGGAAGACCAGUGGCGAAGGCGGGUCUCUGGACAGUUCCUGACGCUGAGGCACGAAGGCCAGGGGAGCAAACGGG
rnacentral:rRNA from 1 species